rnacentral:rRNA from 1 species
UAGUCAUAUGCUUGUCUCAAAGAUUAAGCCAUGCAUGUGUAAGUAUAAGCAAGUAUACUGCGAAACUGCGAACGGCUCAUUAAAUCAGUUAUGAUGCGUACGAUGUUGAGUUACAUGGAUACCCGUGGUAAUUCUAGAGCUAAUACAUGGUGUGGGCUUCGGCCUGCCUCUAUUAGAUCCCCAACCCGCUUUGUUGUGUUGACUCCUAGUAGCUGUGCGGAUCGCGUGCCCUUGCGGCGGCGACGUGUCGUUGCGGUAACUGCCCUAUCAACUUGUGAUGGUAGUGUCUUGGUCUACCAUGGUUGUAACGGGUGACGGAGAAUUAGGGUUCGAUUCCGGAGAAGGAGCCUUAGAGACGGCUGCUACAUCUAAGGAAGGCAGCAGGCGCGCAAAUUACCGACUGGGGACUCCCCGAGGUAGUGACGAGACGUUGAGGAGCGGCGUUAGCUGCUACUUCCCUGAUUGUGUUUUAAAUGGACCUUGAUUUUAUU